rnacentral:rRNA from 1 species
UUUGGUUAAGUUAGAAAGGGCGCACGGUGGAUGCCUUGACACUAGGAGUCGAUGAAGGACGGGACUAACGCCGAUAUGCUUCGGGGAGCUGUAAGUAAGCUUUGAUCCGAAGAUUCCGAAUGGGGAAACCCACUAUACGUAAUGGUAUGGUAUCCUUACCUGAAUACAUAGGGUAUGGAAGACAGACCCAGGGAACUGAAACAUCUAAGUACCUGGAGGAAGAGAAAGCAAAUGCGAUUUUCCUGAGUAGCGGCGAGCGAAACGGAACAUAGCCCAAACCAAGAGGCUUGCCUCUUGGGGUUGUAGGACAUUCUAUACGGAGUUACAAAGGAACGAGGUAGACGAAGCGACCUGGAAAGGUCCGUCGUAGAGGGUAACAACCCCGUAGUCGAAACUUCGUUCUCUCUUGAAUGUAUCCUGAGUACGGCGGAACACGUGAAAUUCCGUCGGAAUCUGGGAGGACCAUCUCCCAAGGCUAAAUACUCCCUAGUGAUCGAUAGUGAACCAGUACCGUGAGGGAAAGGUGAAAAGCACCCCGGAAGGGGAGUGAAAGAGAUCCUGAAACCGUGUGCCUACAAAUAGUCAGAGCCCGUUAAUGGGUGAUGGCGUGCCUUUGUAGAAUGAACCGGCGAGUUACGAUCCCGUGCAAGUUAAGCUGAAGAGGCGGAGCCGCAGCGAAAGCGAGUCUGAAUAGGGCGUUUAGUACGUGGUCGUAGACCCGAAACCAGGUGAUCUACCCCAUGUCCAGGGUGAAGUCAGGUAACACUGAAUGGAGGCCCGAACCCACGCACGUUGAAAAGUGCGGGGAUGAGGUGUGGGUAGCGGAGAAAUUCCAAUCGAACCUGGAGAUAGCUGGUUCUCCCCGAAAUAGCUUUAGGGCUAGCCUUAAG